rnacentral:rRNA from 1 species
UACGUAGGGUGCGAGCGUUGUCCGGAAUUAUUGGGCGUAAAGAGCUCGUAGGCGGUCUGUCGCGUCGGUCGUGAAAACUUGGGGCUUAACCCUGAGCUUGCGGUCGAUACGGGCAUGACUGGAGUUCGGCAGGGGAGACUGGAAUUCCAGGUGUAGCGGUGAAAUGCGUAGAUAUCUGGAGGAACACCGGUGGCGAAGGCGGCAUCCUGGACCGACACUGACACUGAGGAGCGAAAGCCAGGGGAGCAAACGGG